GAUAAUGAGAGUGCUAGAUAGUGCUAGAGGAUAAUGAGAGUGCUAGAUAGUGCUAGAGUAUAAUGAGAGUGCUAGAGGAUAAUGAGAGAGUGCUAGAGUAUAAUGAGAGAGUGCUAGAGGAUAAUGAGAGAGUGCUAGAGAGUGCUAGAGUAUAAUGAGAGAGUGCUAGAGAGUGCUAGAGGAUAAUGAGAGAGUGCUAGAGUAUAAUGAGAGAGUGCUAGAGAGUGCUAGAGGAUAAUGAGAGAGUGCUAGAGGAUAAUGAGAGAGUGCUAGAGAGUGCUAGAGGAUAAUGAGAGAGUGCUAGAGUAUAAUGAGAAGAGUGCUAGAGGAUAAUGAGAGUGCUAGAGUAUAAUGAGAGAGUGCUAGAGGAUAAUGAGAGAGUGCUAGAGGAUAAUGAGAGAGUGCUAGAGAGUGCUAGAGGAUAAUGAGAGAGUGCUAGAGAGUGCUAGAGGAUAAUGAGAGUGCUAGAGUAUAAUGAGAGAGUGCUAGAGGAUAAUGAGAGAGUGCUAGAGGAUAAUGAGAGAGUGCUAGAGGAGGAAAAUAAAGGGUGAUGUAGAAUUAAAAGACGAGAAGGAACGUGGACAGGGAUAGAGAUGUGUUUUAGAUCAAUAGAGACCAAUUGAGAGCUAAGGAGGGGAUGUGUGUGUAUGCGUCCAUUCUACACCACAUCACCACGAUGCUCAUCACACACGUCUCAUCCUCUACCAUUCACACAUUAAAUCACAUCAAUUUAUGUUUAUUUGUUUAGCAAAAACGUUAAUCCAAAUCUACCACCAAAAUGAGGAAUAGCACAUUGAUUUAUAUUGACAUGAAUAGCCUGCAUUGCAAAAACACAUACAUCUGAACAAACAUAAAGCAAAAUAAAUAUACCAAUGUGUUUGGACUUGCUGUGUGUGUGUGUGUAAAUAAAUACACCAAGUUGUGUCUG